GAAAGCGUAAUAGCUCACUAGUCGAGUCGUCCUGCGCGGAAGAUGUAACGGGGCUCAAGCCAUGAACCGAAGCUGCGGAUGUGUAUUUGACACGUGGUAGGGGAGCGUUCCGUAAGCCUGCGAAGGUGUCUCGUAAGGGAUGCUGGAGGUAUCGGAAGUGCGAAUGCUGACAUGAGUAGCGAUAAAGGGUGUGAAAAGCACCCUCGCCGUAAGCCCAAGGUUUCCUGCGCAACGUUCAUCGGCGCAGGGUGAGUCGGCCCCUAAGGCGAGGCAGAAAUGCGUAGUCGAUGGGAAACAGGUCAAUAUUCCUGUACCGUUCUUAGAUGCGAUGGGGGGACGGAGAAGGUUAGCUCGGCCAUCUGUUGGAAUAGGUGGUUUAAGCGUGUAGUCGUGCCGCGUAGGCAAAUCCGCGUGGCUAAGAUGAGGCGUGAUGACGAGGAUCCUCGGAUCCGAAGCGAGUGAUACCCAGCUUCCAGGAAAAGCCUCUAAGCUUCAGUCUAAGAGUGACCGUACCGCAAACCGACACAGGUGGGCUGGUAGAGAAUACCAAGGCGCUUGAGAGAACUCAGGAGAAGGAACUCGGCAAAUUGAUACCGUAACUUCGGGAGAAGGUAUGCCCCUGGUACGUGAAGGCCCUCGCGGCCGGAGCGGAACGGGGUCGCAGAGAAUCGGUGGCUGCGACUGUUUAUUAAAAACACAGCACUCUGCAAACACGAAAGUGGACGUAUAGGGUGUGACGCCUGCCCGGUGCCGGAAGGUUAAGUGAUGGGGUGCAAGCUCUUGAUCGAAGCCCCGGUAAACGGCGGCCGUAACUAUAACGGUCCUAAGGUAGCGAAAUUCCUUGUCGGGUAAGUUCCGACCUGCACGAAUGGCGUAACGAUGGCCACACUGUCUCCUCCUGAGACUCAGCGAAGUUGAAAUGUUUGUGAAGAUGCAAUCUCCCCGCGGCUAGACGGAAAGACCCCAUGAACCUUUACUGUAGCUUUGCAUUGGACUUUGACGGGACUUGUGUAGGAUAGGUGGGAGGCUAUGAAACCGGGACGCCAGUUCCGGCGGAGCCACCCUUGAAAUACCACCCUGGUGUCGUCGAGGUUCUAACCCAGGCCUGUGAAUCCAGGUCGGGGACCGUGCAUGGUGGGCAGUUUGACUGGGGCGGUCUCCUCCCAAAAGGUAACGGAGGAGUACGAAGGUCACCUAGGUACGGUCGGACAUCGUACUGAUAGUGCAAUGGCAAAAGGUGGCUUGACUGCGAGACCCACAAGUCGAGCAGGUGCGAAAGCAGGUCAUAGUGAUCCGGUGGUUCUGUAUGGAAGGGCCAUCGCUCAACGGAUAAAAGGUACUCUGGGGAUAACAGGCUGAUUCCGCCCAAGAGUUCACAUCGACGGCGGAGUUUGGCACCUCGAUGUCGGCUCAUCACAUCCUGGGGCUGUAGCCGGUCCCAAGGGUAUGGCUGUUCGCCAUUUAAAGUGGUACGUGAGCUGGGUUUAAAACGUCGUGAGACAGUUUGGUCCCUAUCUGCCGUGGGCGCUGGAAGUUUGAGAGGGCCUGCUCCUAGUACGAGAGGACCGGAGUGGACGCACCCCUGGUGUACCGGUUGUGACGCCAGUCGCAUCGCCGGGUAGCUAUGUGCGGAAGAGAUAACCGCUGAAAGCAUCUAAGCGGGAAACUCGCCUCAAGAUGAGACUUCCCCGGGGCCUCGAGCCCCCUGAAGGGUCGUUGAAGACCACAACGUUGAUAGGCCGGGUGUGUAAGCGUGGCAACACGUUCAGCUAACCGGUACUAAUUGCCCGUGUGGCUUGAUCCUAUAAC
rnacentral:rRNA from 1 species